CAGGAGACAGCAUAGUUAAAUAAGUAGAAGUAGUAGAACAGUAGAAGUUACAAGAGUAGAAGUUACAAGAGUAGAAGUUACAAGAGUAGAAGUUACUGCAUUUGAGCACAAGUCUGUAAAGAUGUCAGAGGCAAUCUAUGAAAACAGAGAUGGAUUUAAAGGCAAAAAACCUAAUGAAAUAAAGACCAUGGAUAUUGAUGAUUGUAUAUACACCAACGAAACACCCAUCAAGCCCUGCAGGAAGGAUGGAGUUGGUGAUCAACAAUCAGUGUUUUAUCAGUGGUGGAAGAGAUACUCUGGAGCUGCUGCAGUGAGUCUGGGGCUGCUGUGUGUUCUCCUAUUGGCUGGGAUCAUAGGCCUGUUGCUCUACCAGCGAAACCAAUUAACCAGAUCCAACACCCUGACCAAAGAGAGAGACCAGUUACAGACCAGCGGCAACAACCUGACUGAAGAGAGAGACCAG